rnacentral:misc_RNA from 1 species
GAUGAAGAACGUAGCGAAAUGCGAUACUUGGUGUGAAUUGCAGAAUCCCGUGAACCAUCGAGUCUUUGAACGCAAGUUGCGCCCGAAGCCAUUAGGCCGAGGGCACGCCUGCCUGGGCGUCACACGUCGUUGCCCCCCCAUCUACUCCUUCGGGAUUGCGGGGGGCGGAUGAUGGCCUCUCGUGCGCCUCGUCGCGCGGUUGGCCUAAAUGCCAAGUCCUCGGCGACGCACGCCACGACAAUCGGUGGUUGCGAAACCUCGGUUGCCUGUCGUGUGCGGUCGUCGCGCAUCGAGGGCUCGAAAAAAUUGCCGGGCUUCGGCUCGACUUUCGACGCGACCCCAGGUCAGGCGGGGUUACCCGCUGAAUUUAAGCAUAUCAAUAAGCGGAGG